rnacentral:ncRNA from 1 species
CGACUGUUUAAUUAAAACAAAGCAUCGCGAAGGCCCGCGGCGGGGGUUGACGCGAUGUGAUUUGUGCCCAGUGCUCUGAAUGUCAAAGUGAAGAAAUUCAAUGAAGCGCGGGUAAACGGCGGGAGUAACUAUGACUCUCUUAAGACGGGACCAUAGUUACUG